rnacentral:tRNA from 1 species
UAUAGCUCAGUUGGUUAGAGCAGAGGACUCAUAAUCCUUUGGUCGCUGGUUCAAGUCCAGCUG